GAUGAACGCUAGCGGGAGGCCUAAUACAUGCAAGUCGAACGGUAAGGUCCCUUCGGGGAUACACGAGUGGCGGACGGGUGCGUAACGCGUACGAAACAUACCUUCAACAGGGAGAUACCUCCGGGAAACUGGAAAUAAUACCCCAUAGUAUUGUGACAUCGCAUGAUGUUACAAUUAAAGCUUUGGCGGUUGAAGAUUGUCGUGCGUCUGAUUAGCUAGUUGGUGAGGUAACGGCUCACCAAGGCGACGAUCAGUAGCUGGUCUGAGAGGAUGAUCAGCCACACUGGAACUGAGACACGGUCCAGACUCCUACGGGAGGCAGCAGUGGGGAAUAUUGGACAAUGGGCGCAAGCCUGAUCCAGCCAUGCCGCGUGAGUGAUGAAGGCCUUAGGGUUGUAAAGCUCUUUCACCGGAGAAGAUAAUGACGGUAUCCGGAGAAGAAGCCCCGGCUAACUUCGUG
rnacentral:rRNA from 1 species